GGCCAUAAAAAUGUUACGAAAGAGACGCCAGUCAACAGCCUUCUUGGACCGGAGCCAGCCAACAGACACAACAGAGCCCACCUAAAAGAGAAACAGACCAAGGAAACAGGAGACUGAAGUGGGAGAACCCCCUAAGCCCAGGAAUACAAGGCCAGCCUGGGCAACACAGCAAGACCCCAUCCCUGAAAAAAAAAAAA